GGUCAUGGCGGUCGGGACGGAACGAGCAAGAAAACGAGGUAAUUUGAGCAGCAAUACCAAGCGUCCUGAGGAAUGUCACGAGCAACCAAUGCAACAGAGAAAUCAAGGCGAAUGUGCUGUUUCAUUCUGAGGAGAUGCUCCCAGACCAGAAGAUGAGCGAGGAGCCGCCAGGGGGAGCUUCCUGAACAGCAGGUGAAGGAGCUACUGGAGGAAUUUACGGCACCAAACUGUUCUUCGCUGGAACCACAGAGAACUAAGGUCUCACCUGGAGAAACUUUUAAAAGGAAGGGUCGGAUAUUUGUCACGUUGUUUAGCCAAAGUGCAAUCUUUUAAUC